UACGGAGGAUGCAAGCGUUAUCCGGAAUGAUUGGGCGUAAAGCGUCCGCAGGUGGCUGUGUAAGUCUGCUGUCAAAGAGCGAAGCUCAACUUCGUAAAGGCAGUGGAAACUACACGGCUAGAGUGCGUUCGGGGCAGAGGGAAUUCCUGGUGUAGCGGUGAAAUGCGUAGAGAUCAGGAAGAACACCGGUGGCGAAGGCGGUUCUCUGGGCCACUACUGACGCUGAGAAGCGAAAGCAUGGGGAGCGAACAGG
rnacentral:rRNA from 1 species